rnacentral:lncRNA from 1 species
AUGUAUAUACGUUAAUAAUUAAAAAUAUGGUAAAUGUAUGCACAUAAACAUAUGUAUAUAUAUGUAUAUGUAUAUAUACAUAGAACAAUGAAAAUUUUUUUUUUUUUUUUUUAUUCUAUCACUGCUUAAGUUUAAGUGCUGUAAAUUGUAAUAAAGAAACGCAUGUAGAGCUUAAUGAGUAUGAACUAAAAAACCAAUUUAGUGUUCGCAUAUUAAAACAAUCUUCUGAAAAUUGUGGUUUAGAAUUUGAAGAUGAAGCAGAAAUUGACAUCAGGGCAUUUUGUAAGAGCUUCUACAUAUAAUAUUUAAAUACAUAUUAAAUAAUUUGUUUAUUAAAAACAAUUUUAUUACUGUGUAAUACUUAUUUAUAUAAAAAAUAAAAAUAAAAUAAUAAUAAUUUUUAAUUUAUCAAUUUUUUAUAUUUAUUUUACAUGGUAACAAUUAUUUAUUGCAGCUCCAGGAGUGAAACUCAUGCCUAGUUUAUCAUCAGAUUUCGAAUUUGGAUAUGCUAAUCAGAAGUUUAUAGUCGGAAAAUACAACGUCCCUGAUUUAAAUAAAGGUUUACGAGGGAUGUGUACAGGCGAACUAAGGCGCAUAGGCAUAUCAAUUAACAAUUUAGGUAAAAUAUAUUAUGAAGUAAUAUUGAAAAAUUAUAAAAAGAAAAGCCCGAAAAGUGAAGAACUUUAAUUUUUUUUUUUAUAACUUUUUUUUUUGUACAUGUAAUAUAUAACGUUCAUAUAAUUUG